rnacentral:lncRNA from 1 species
ACUAUUUGAAUGUGUGUUGCUCCUUGUGGCAGGUAUACUGUUCCAAUGCCCUGGGAUCUCUGUAGUGGUCGGUACUGUAUUGAUUAUAAAUGGUGAAGUCCUAGUAUCUUGCUAGAGUGAGCUGGCCAGGAUGGUGGAGCUCUACCACCAUUUCACAGGUUAUAGACAGGGGCCACCAGGUUUCAGGAAAGCAGCAAUGACCCCUCAGUAAUAGUUGGAAAGUGUGAUAUGACACUGAGCUUCACUGUGUUGGUGAAGAAGAGCUGCAGUUUGCCUCCACCUCUGAAGAAGCACAAUACACCUUUCUGGGUUACCAAUGGGAUACUUCCCAACAGCUUUGUCAUCACAUACAAUAUUCUCAAACAAGAUCUUAAUGGCAUCUACUUUCUCCAGGAACACAGCCCCUGACCUGUGUGUGUUUGCGUAGAGAAGGCAUGCUAUGUACCCCCUAGGAUAUCAAGAUUCCUGUAGCAGAUUGAGCUCUGGCAGUUGAUCUCAGUGGCUUGAUAGAGUGUCAUUAUAAAAACGCACCUGGAAGAUUCUGUGGAAAAGACAACCUCAGAAGACCAAGGAAUCUGCCCACCACUCAAGCCUGGGAAAGCUGGCAGAGGAUGCACGUGUUUUACUCACCUGAGUGUUUACAAUGCUCGUGAGGUGCCUCCCUGAUAGUACAGAGGAAUGAAGAAGGAAUAAACAGACCUUCUGGAUAAUUGCAUCAGCCUUCCCCACUAUUCCAAUGCCAUGCUAACAUUUCAAGUAAUGUCCCUUUUGUCUUGCUGAGAAAAAAUCAUUUCAUGAUUUAUUACACUGGAUUAAAGGCUAUGCACACUCUGGAGUUGGAACAUGACUGAAGGGCAAGCAAGCAUAAAGGAUAUCAGAAACAGUUGAUGUGUUUAAAUUUUUCUGAAUUUCUCAAGUAAACUUUUUAGAAAGUAGUCUGAAGAUAAAAUGGUUAUAUAAGUUACUUAAACUGUAGAUGAUGGCACCUUUAUCCCUAUAUAAUAAAAUUAAGAUUUGUAGGUUAAACCUUGGAUAUUCCCAUCUGAGCAUCUGUACCAAACAGAAAAGACCUGUGUGAGUUCCUGAGAACCAGUGCUCAUUCCAGAAGAGACAGGUUUCUCUCCAGGAAGAAAUGUCUGAAAUUCAGUGAAUUAAAAUCCUCAUUGAGUCU